rnacentral:rRNA from 1 species
CGGCAACAGCUCAAAUUUGAAAUCUGGCUCUUCUAGGGUCCGAGUUGUAAUUUGUAGAAGCGAUUAUCACGUUUUCGUUCGGGUUCAAGUUCCUUGGAAUAGGACGUCAUAGAGGGUGAGAAUCCCGUAUGUGACUGGCUGCCUUCGCCUAUGUGAAGCUCUUUCGAC